rnacentral:rRNA from 1 species
GACGGGGGAUGCAAGCGUUAUCCGGAAUCACUGGGCGUAAAGCGUCUGUAGGUGGUGAUGCAAGUCACUGGUGCAAAACUCUGGCUCAACCGGAGGAAAGCCAGUGAAACUGCAUGACUAGAGUGUGGGAGAGGUAGAAGGAAUUCCCUGAGUAGCGGUGAAAUGCGUAGAUACAGGGAAGAACACCGGCGGCGAAAGCGUUCUCCGGGAACACAACUGACACUGAGAGACGAAAGCUAGGGGAGCGAAUGGG